rnacentral:lncRNA from 1 species
AAUGCAGUCUUCAUUUUUGUCUGGUGAGGAUGGAGCACCACCACACUGAGGUCUGCGUUGCCCUGACGACCAGUUGAGCUGAACGAGGAACAAUGAGCCACAGAGGAAAGCUCCUAUGGUGAUACUUUUUUCCAGGUGCCUAGCAACAAAUGAACUCUCUUCAGAAGAGUAGAUUUCAACUCAAGCCUUGAAGAAUUACAGCCCCCAGAUCUCCCCGCACAGCAGAGAAAUAGAUCAGGGAGCAGAACAGAACUGGGGAAAGGAAGACAUGCCGAAGAGGGAUCAGUUUAGCAGCCUAGAUACACUCAGACAUGAAGGCUAGGGAUAUCAAAUGUGGAGUAAAGUGUUUGCUAUGCAAAUAUGAGGUACUGAAUAUCCAGUCCUAGAAGCCUCCCAAAAGGCAGGCACAUGCCAUCCCUGUGUGGGGAGACAAGUGGACCUCUGGGGCCAGCUGUCCUAGCUUGAUAGGUGAGGCCCAGACGAGUCAAGGACACUAUCUCAACACAGCCAAUGUGAAUAGCCACUCAGGGAUGGCAUUUGAGACUGUCCUCUGACCUCCACACACAUGUACGCAUGCAUGUGCCCAUACACAUGCGUGGAAUUGCACACACACACACACACACACACACACACACACACACAUGUACACCGAGCAUUCAAAGUCACAGAGACUAUAGAUUCCAGCCAGGAAGUGAAGAACGAAUCAGAUGCAGCUGAACACACCUGUGGCUCUCGUGAAGAUUUGAAAGCCAGCGGAAGUGGAUGAGAAACUGAGGCUGAAUCUACAGUCUGAGCUCACGGGUGUGGAGCGCAGAUAAUGCAUCUUGAGAUCACUACGAUCUUUGUGCCAUCUGGGAGCGUGGAGGAGGUGGUGCUGAGCUGUGGAAUACAGGCAACCCGCUGAAAGAAGAGUCAUGAGUCCUAGGAACAUCACAUCAGUCAAGGGAGUGGAAGGUGGGGUCAGUGCUGCGGUGGCGUCUAUCCAAAGGGAGAGAUGAAGAGAGGAGGAUAAAGGCAAUAAGCAGAAAGUAUAACAUAAGAUGUCCCAAGUGAAAGCAUCUACAUAUGUGCGGGCAAAACAUCACUCAUCGGGAGCAAGAGAGAAAGUACUGUUUGGGUAUGGUGAUUUGAAUGGGAACUGUCCCCAUGGGCUCUCAUGCUUGAACACAUAGUCUGCAGUUGGUGACACUGUCUGGGGAGGUUAUGGAGUCUUUAGGAAAUGCAGUCUUGAAGGGAGACACACACUGGGGACAGGUUUUGAGAGUGCACAGUCUCACCUUACUUACAGUUACUCCCUCUGCUUUCUGCAUGCGGAUGGAGAUGUGGUCUUUCCACCUACCGCUCUGACCUCUUACUGCCUUAUCUCCUCCACUGUUAUGGAUCCUCUCUCUGAAAAUGUAAGCUCCAAAUAAACUCUUUCCUCCAUAA